rnacentral:rRNA from 1 species
AUUGAACGCUGGCGGCAUGCCUUACACAUGCAAGUCGAACGGCAGCGGACCUUCGGGUGCCGGCGAGUGGCGAACGGGUGAGUAAAGUAUCGGAACGUACCUUUCAGUGGGGGAUAACGUAGCGAAAGUUACGCUAAUACCGCAUAUUCCCUGAGGAGGAAAGCAGGGGACCUUCGGGCUCUGCGCUGAUGGAGUGGCCGAUAUCAGUUGAGCUAGUUGGUGGGGUAAAGGCCUACCAAGGCGACGAUCUGUAGCGGGUCUGAGAGGAGGAUCCGCCACACUGGGACUGAGACACGGCCCAGACUCCUACGGGAGGCAGCAGUGGGGAAUUUUGGACAAUGGGCGAAAGCCUGAUCCAGCCAUGCCGCGUGAGUGAAGAAGGCCUUCGGGUUGUAAAGCUCUUUCGGCCGGGAAGAAAUCGUGUGGGCUAAUACCCUGCAUGGAUGACGGUACCGGAAUAAGAAGCACCGGCUAACUACGUGCCAGCCGCCGCAGUAA